GACGAACGCUGGCGGCGUGCCUAAUACAUGCAAGUAGAACGCUGAAGGAGGAGCUUGCUUCUCUGGAUGAGUUGCGAACGGGUGAGUAACGCGUAGGUAACCUGCCUGGUAGCGGGGGAUAACUAUUGGAAACGAUAGCUAAUACCGCAUAAGAGUAGAUGUUGCAUGACAUUUGCUUAAAAGGUGCAAUUGCAUCACUACCAGAUGGACCUGCGUUGUAUUAGCUAGUUGGUGGGGUAACGGCUCACCAAGGCGACGAUACAUAGCCGACCUGAGAGGGUGAUCGGCCACACUGGGACUGAGACACGGCCCAGACUCCUACGGGAGGCAGCAGUAGGGAAUCUUCGGCAAUGGACGGAAGUCUGACCGAGCAACGCCGCGUGAGUGAAGAAGGGUUUCGGAUCGUAAAGCUCUGUUGUAAGAGAAGAACGAGUGUGAGAGUGGAAAGUUCACACUGUGACGGUAGCUUACCAGAAAGGGACGGCUAACUACGUG
rnacentral:rRNA from 1 species